UGGGGAAUAUUGCACAAUGGGGGAAACCCUGAUGCAGCAACGCCGCGUGAACGAUGAAGGCCUUUGGGUCGUAAAGUUCUGUUCUAGGUGAUGAAAACUGACAGUAACCUAGGAGAAAGCCCCGGCUAACUCCGUGCCAGCAGCCGCGGUAAUACGGAGGGGGCAAGCGUUAUCCGGAAUUAUUGGGCGUAAAGGGUACGUAGGUGGCCUUUUAAGCGUAGGGUAUAAGGCAAUGGCUCAACCAUUGUUCGCCCUAUGAACUGGAAGGCUUGAGUGCAGGAGAGGAAAGCGGAAUUCCUAGUGUAGCGGUGGAAUGCAUAGAUAUUAGGAGGAACAUCAGCGGCGAAGGCGGCUUUCUGGACUGCAACUGACACUGAGGUACGAAAGCGUGGGGAGCAAACAGGAUUAGAUACCCUGGUAGUCCACGCCGUAAACGAUGAGCACUAGGUGUCGGGGUCGUAAGGCUUCGGUGCCGUAGUUAACGCAUUAAGUGCUCCGCCUGGGGAGUACGCACGCAAGUGUG
rnacentral:rRNA from 1 species